rnacentral:rRNA from 1 species
UACGUAGGGGGCAAGCGUUGUCCGGAAUCAUUGGGCGUAAAGAGCGUGUAGGCGGUCCGGUAAGUCGGCUGUGAAAGUCCAGGGCUCAACCCUGGGAUGCCGGUCGAUACUGCCGGACUAGAGUUCGGAAGAGGCGAGUGGAAUUCCCGGUGUAGCGGUGAAAUGCGCAGAUAUCGGGAGGAACACCUACGGCGAAGGCAGCUCGCUGGGACGUUACUGACGCUGAGACGCGAAAGCGUGGGGAGCAAACAGG